GUGAUAAACUGGAGGAAGGUGGGGAUGACGUCAAGUCAUCAUGGCCCUUACGACCAGGGCUACACACGUGCUACAAUGGCGCAUACAAAGAGAAGCGACCUCGCGAGAGCAAGCGGACCUCAUAAAGUGCGUCGUAGUCCGGAUUGGAGUCUGCAACUCGACUCCAUGAAGUCGGAAUCGCUAGUAAUCGUGGAUCAGAAUGCCACGGUGAAUACGUUCCCGGGCCUUGUACACACCGCCCGUCACACCAUGGGAGUGGGUUGCAAAAGAAGUAGGUAGCUUAACCUUCGGGAGGGCGCUUACCACUUUGUGAUUCAUGACUGGGGUGAAGUCGUAACAAGGUAACCGUAGGGGAACCU
rnacentral:rRNA from 1 species